rnacentral:rRNA from 1 species
AUGUUGUUUCAGCUCAUGGACAAGAUCAGGAGAAAGAUUACUGUCAAGUUUGAGAAGAGGAGAAGGGUAGCUAGAAAAUUUCAAGGUCGACAUAUACUUCCAAGUGUCAUGAAGGAGUUGAAUGACAUAAGCAGGGGGCUGGACAUUGAAUAUGAGAGAAUAGAUGACAUGAUUGCAGAGGUAAGUGAGAGUGUUGCACUAGGUGGCAAGUGCCACGUCACUGAUCUAGCAAAUAGGACAUGCACAUGCAGGGCAUUUCAAGUCUCUGGGAAGCCUUGCAAACAUGCAAUUAGCUUUAUUAUUGGAAUUAGGGGGGUCACAAUAGAAGACUUCGUUGAUGAUUGUUACAGCGUUGCCAAGUUCGUUGCAGCUUAUGCUCCUAUUCUUCCUGGCCUAACUGACAUGUCUCAAUGGCCUAGUGUGAACAAAGAAUUCUUCUUGAAUCCCCCAAUCCUUAGGAGGGCCCCUGGAGGCCAAAGGUGCAGAGGCACAAAAGUGGUGCUGAGAAUAGCAAGGGAAAGGGAAAGAAAGGCCAUCACCAGUGUUCAAUUUGCAAAGCUUAUGGACAUAGAUGGCAAAGCUGCAAAGAUGCUGCUCCUGAAGCACUAG